rnacentral:rRNA from 1 species
UACAGAGGGGGCAAGCGUUAUUCGGAAUUAUUGGGCGUAAAGGGCGCGUAGGCGGCUUGGCAAGUGGAAGGUGAAAUCCCUCGGCUUAACCGAGGAACUGCCCUCCAAACUGCUUCGCUUGAGACCGGGAGAGGUGAGUGGAAUUCCCAGUGUAGCGGUGAAAAUGCGUAGAUAUUGGGAGGAACACCAGUGGCGAAGGCGGCUCACUGGACCGGUACUGACGCUGAUGCGCGAAAAGCGUGGGGGAGCAAACGGG